AAAAAGCGACGUCGCUAUGAACGCUUGGCCGCCACAAGUCAGAAGGAUCGUGAGGCCCCGCUUUCACGGUCUGUUUCUGUCCUCCCUGAGCUCGCCUUAGGACACCUGCGUUACCGUUUGACAGGUGUACAGCCCCAGUCAAACUCCCCACCUGGCACUGUCCCCGGAAAUGAUGAGUUCAUGUCCUUUGUAGGGACAUGGAUGAAAUUGGAAACCAUCAUUCUCAGUAAACUAUCGCAA
rnacentral:lncRNA from 1 species